rnacentral:lncRNA from 1 species
CGAGCCUAUGGAAACAGACUGGAAGGAAAAGCUCACGAGGGAAAGACAACAACUUGAAGAUGUAAAGGAGGAGAUACAGAAGGAAAAAGAAGCCUUUGAGAGAAAGAAGGGAUUGACCGUGAAAGAAAGAGAUGAGUUUGAUCUGAUGAAGUCUGAAACCCAGGGACAAUUGGAGGAAAUAGAACAAAACAAACAAGACAUUCGUGUGGAGAAGGAAAUAGAACAAAACAAACAAGACAUUCGUGUGGAGAAGGAAAAGCUGGAUCAGAUCAAAGCUGAGUUAGAAAGACGGUCUGAAGACAUCAAUCAGCUCAUGGUUGAGACAAGACGGGAGAGGGGGAAGGUUGAAGAACUGGCUAUCCAAACUAAAAAACAAAGAGAAGAAAUGGUGGGUUUUAUGGAAAAGAACAAACAAAAGCAAAACGAACUGGAACUCAUGACUGACAAGAUUGAAAGAGAGAAACAAGACAUCGAAGACAGUCGAGAUGUGCUAACAAAGGAGAGAGAGGAGCUGGAACAAAUGAGGAGUGAGAUACAGCAACAGAGAGAGGAGACAGAAUCUCACAUGGAAGACCAAAGGAAAGAGAAAGAACAUUUGGAACAAAUGACGACGGACAUGAAAAAACAGUUGCUAGAGGUGGACAAUGACAAGGAAAUGAUA